rnacentral:rRNA from 1 species
UAGCUUGGCUGAUUACGUCCUGCCUUGUACACACCGCCGUCGCUACUACCGAUUGAAUGGCUUAGUGAGGCCUCAGAUGAGGCUCGGAGAUUGGCAACAGUUCUUGGUUUGAAAAGUUGGUCAAACUUGGUCGUUUAGAGGAAGUAAAAGUCGUAACAAAGGUUUCCGUAGGUGAACCUGCGGAAGGAUCAUCA